UGAUGAGAAAGACGCUGCAGCUGGACAGCUCCUGUUAUGCAGUGGAGACACAGGUGUAGCAGACCGGUCACCACUUCCACAGUCUGUGAGGAGUCACCGCCUAUGUCCAGGUGAACAGGCACAGAAAGUGUGACACCUCCAUGCCAUGGAAUGCCACUCCAUAAUAACUAGAAAAUAAAUUAUUGAUACACCCAGCAACUUUUAUGGAUCUCAAAGGUAUUCCUUUAAGUGAAUAAAACCCGCAUGGAAAGGUAAGAUACGGUGUGAUUCAAUUUAUAUAACAUGCUCAGAGGAACAGCAAUAGAGGGCCAGAAUGAAU
rnacentral:lncRNA from 1 species